AGCGAACGCUGGCGGCAGGCCUAACACAUGCAAGUCGAACGAAGUCUUCGGACUUAGUGGCGGACGGGUGAGUAACACGUGGGAACGUGCCUUUAGGUUCGGAAUAACUCAGGGAAACUUGUGCUAAUACCGAAUGUGCCCUUCGGGGGAAAGAUUUAUCGCCUUUAGAGCGGCCCGCGGCUGAUUAGCUAGUUGGUGAGGUAAAGGCUCACCAAGGCUACGAUCAGUAGCUGGUCUGGGAGGAUGACCAGCCACAUUGGGACUGAGACACGGCCCAAACUCCUACGGGAGGCAGCAGUGGGGAAUCUUGCGCAAUGGGCGAAAGCCUGACGCAGCCAUGCCGCGUGGAUGAUGAAGGUCUUAGGAUUGUAAAAUCCUUUCACCGGUGAAGAUAAUGACUGUAGCCGGAGAAGAAGCCCCGGCUAACUUCGUGCCAGCCGCCGCCGUAAUAC
rnacentral:rRNA from 1 species